CUUGAGCUCGGGCUGCCGGGCAUUGGGCUCAAUCCUAAUGUUAAUUGGUUUCUUGGAUUACUGCACUCAAACACAAAUACCACGUUAAUUAGUUAAUUUUAUUAUUAAUGAUUAUAUAAUACACAUCAUAUGUAUAUAUAUAUAUAUAUAUGAAAUUUAAAUCGGGUUUGAUUUGUAUUGUAUAUAUUAUGUAUAUUAUAUAUGUUAUAUUAUAUAUGUUAAGUUAAAUAUGUUAUGUUAAGUUAAAUAUGUUAACUUAAAUAUGUUAAGUUCUUCCUCUUCCUGUUCCUUGGAAAGAUCGC
rnacentral:lncRNA from 1 species